rnacentral:rRNA from 1 species
AUUGAACGCUGGCGGCAUGCCUUACACAUGCAAGUCGAACGGUAACGGGCCUUCGGGUGCCGCCGAGUGGCGCACGGGUGAGUAAUACAUCGGAACGUGCCCGAUCGUGGGGGAUAACGAGGCGAAAGCUUUGCUAAUAUCGCAUACGAUCUACGGCUGAAAGCAGGGGACCGCAAGGCCUUGCGCGGACGGAGCGGCCGAUGGCAGAUUAGGUAGUUGGGGGGAUAAAAGCUUACCAAGCCGACGAUCUGUAGCUGGUCUGAGAGGAUGAUCAGCCACACUGGGACUGAGACACGGCCCAGACUCCUACGGGAGGCAGCAGUGGGGAAUUUUGGACAAUGGGCGCAAGCCUGAUCCAGCCAUGCCGCGUGCAGGAUGAAGGCCUUCGGGUUGUAAACUGCUUUUGUACGGAACGAAAAGCCUUCUUUUAAUACAGGAGGGUCAUGACGGUACCGUAAGAAUAAGCACCGGCUAACUACGUG